GGGGGAUAGCCCGCCGAAAGGCGGAUUAAUACCGCAUAAGCUGUUUGCCUGGCAUCAGGCGCUUAGUAAAGAUUUAUUGGUUAUAGAUGGGGUUGCGGGUCAUUAGCUAGUUGGUAAGGUAACGGCUUACCAAGGCGACGAUGACUAGGGGAGCUGAGAGGCUGGUCCCCCACACGGGCACUGAGAUACGGGCCCGACUCCUACGGGAGGCAGCAGUAGGGAAUAUUGGGCAAUGGACGAGAGUCUGACCCAGCCAUGCCGCGUGCA
rnacentral:rRNA from 1 species